rnacentral:lncRNA from 1 species
UAAACCUAUUAAUACGUACUUUUGGUUUUAAGCUUAUUAUUCAUGUAAUCUUUCAGCUACCUAUACCGCGAUUUGAAGGAUAUAUGGUGAAGGCAAUGAAGACAAUAUUGAGCAUAUUGGUUGAUGUACCACAUUUUGAAGAAACGAAUGAGUAACAAGUGUUAACUCAUUUGAAUCAUUGUUGUGAUAGAAUUUAUUUUGUAACGGAUAUGGUAGAAUUGAUUGGGUUGAACUUAAGUUGUA